rnacentral:rRNA from 1 species
UCCUCCCUCUGGCGGCGUGCCUAAUACAUGCAAGUAGAACGCUGAAGAGAGGAGCUUGCUCUUCUUGGAUGAGUUGCGAACGGGUGAGUAACGCGUAGGUAACCUGCCUUGUAGCGGGGGAUAACUAUUGGAAACGAUAGCUAAUACCGCAUAAACAUGGAUGACACAUGUCAUUUAUUUGAAAGGGGCAAUUGCUCCACUACAAGAUGGACCUGCGUUGUAUUAGCUAGUAGGUGAGGUAAUGGCUCACCUAGGCGACGAUACAUAGCCGACCUGAGAGGGUGAUCGGCCACACUGGGACUGAGACGCGGCCCAGACUCCUACGGGAAGCAGCAGUAGGGAAUCUUCGGCAAUGGGGGCAACCCUGACCGAGCAACGCCGCGUGAGUGAAGAAGGUUUUCGGAUCGUAAAGCUCUGUUGUAAGUCAAGAACGGUGGUGAGAGUGGAAAGUUCACACUGUGACGGUAGCUUACCAGAAAGGGACGGCUAACUACGUG